rnacentral:lncRNA from 1 species
CCUUGUCUCAAAAAAAUAAAAUUUAAAAAAAUACCUCGUGAGCAACGUUUCCUUCCACCAGCUGAAGCUGGCCUGUACACCUGCAGCUCACACCCUCCAAUUUAAACAUUUUAUCUUUCAGUUCAAGUCACUUCAAAAUAUCACUCUUCAACAUGGCCCCUUCAAACUGCCGUGGCUGGCUGGCCCUGGUAUGGGAGGCACGUGUGGAAGGAACAGGAUGUGGACACAGGAUGGGAGGACCUUUGUUAGUCCCAGGCCGGAGGGCCUCUCACUUCUCCUGGACAAUUGCCUGUCUCCCUGCACCUGACCCCACCUGCUUCUGCCCAGAAAGUCCAGGCCGUGACCACAGAUGCUGUCCCUCAGGGCAGUCUUCUCUGUUGGAACCUGUUCAUCCCCUCAACCAGAAGUAUGGAAUCCCUCCUUCCUGCCUGCCUGGUCCCUCAAGCCAAUGAGCUAAGGGCACAAGGGGCGAACCCAGGACUGAACUAGCCACCGGCCCUUAGGACGCUGGUCACCCACAGAGAAGAGGAGGGGCAACAAAACACUGUGAAAACUGUCAGGGACUUUCACUGUCUUCCAGACCAGUCUUAAGCUGGUGGCAUAUAGGCUUUCCUUGAUGAGGAUAGAGAAAUGGAGAAAAAUCGUGGGACAAGUUAAAUACUGCAGCUGCCAGAAUUGGGUUGGGAUGAAGAAAUACCCUUACUAAAUGGGAGAUAUUCUGGAUCUUCUGGAAUUCAGGUUGAUGGCAGUAAGAAACAGAAGAACACUUAAACCUUCCCUGAAAUUCAAGAUGACAUGCAUCCAAAAAAACAACAAAAAAAAGAUGACAUACAUCCAUAUAACAGGAGCCAACAGUGAUGGAAAUGAAUAUGUGAAAGUAGAAAAUUGUUGAACAUUAAAAUGAUGUUGAAUUUAACCACACCAUAGAGAUGAUAAAGUGCAGUUUCCAUGCUACAGGAAAUAAAUCCACAUAAUAGGAUUUCCAGGAGAGAAAAUCAAUACAGAAAUAAUAGAAGAAAACUUUUUGAGUUAAAGAAAGAUUUGAGUUGCCCAAUUAUAGGGAAAAAGGGAAUCAGGCAAAAUUAGGGAAGAGCUCCUUCUUGGACAUUCCUAGGGACAAAGAAUAAAGAGCCUGGUGGCCCUCAGAGUAAGUGACAGCAUUUAACGACAGAAGUCCCAGAGCAAUAUCUGAAGGUUUUAAGAGGGAAAAGGUUGUAACCCAGGGAUCCUUCACUCAUCCAAGCCACUGGCCGUAUGAUAUAACCACAGAAAGACAUUCUCAGCCUUGCAAGGAUUCAGACAUUUGCCACCCAUGUAUCUUUCCUGAAAAAAUUAUUUGUAGAAAUAGUCCCACCAAUUAAGAAGGGAAUCUAAAUGCCAGAAAUUAAAGAUGUAAUGUCAAAGAAAUAAUGAUAAGGUAUAAAGCCAAUAAAAUAUAGAGUUUUACAAUAAA